UGCCCACUGAUAAAUAAUUAAAGGGCUGCAGUAUUUUGACUGUACAAAGGUAGCAUAAUCAUUAGUCAUUUAAUUGAUGACUUGUAUGAAGGAUUGGAUGAAAUAUAAACUGUCUUUAAAGUAAAUUAUAGAAUUUAAUUUUUUAAUUAAAAAGUUAAAAUGAUUUAAAAAGACGAGAAGACCCUAUAGAGUUUUAUUUAAUUUUAAAUUAAGAUUUUAUAUAAAUUUAAUAAUUUAAAUUUAAUUUUGAAUUUUGUUGGGGUGAUAGAAAAAUUAAAUAAACUUUUUUUUUUAUUAAACAUGAAUAAGUGAGUAAAUGAUCCAAUUUUAUUGAUUAUAAGAAAAAAUUACCUUAGGGAUAACAGCGUAAUUUUUUUUUUUAGUUCAUAUAAGAAAAAGAGUUUGCGACCUCGAUGUUGGAUUAAGAUAAAAUUUAAAUGCAGAAGUUUAAAAUUUUUGA
rnacentral:rRNA from 1 species